rnacentral:rRNA from 1 species
UACGAAGGGGGCUAGCGUUGCUCGGAAUUACUGGGCGUAAAGCGCGCGCAGGCGGCCGCGUAAGUCGGGUGUGAAACCCCGGGGCUCAACCCCGGGCCUGCAUCCGAUACUGCACGGCUAGAGGUAGGUAGGGGAGAUCGGAAUUCCUGGUGUAGCGGUGAAAUGCGCAGAUAUCAGGAGGAACACCGGUGGCGAAGGCGGAUCUCUGGGCCUUACCUGACGCUCAGGCGCGAAAGCUAGGGGAGCGAACAGG